rnacentral:tRNA from 1 species
ACCUGGCUGGCUCAGUUGGUGGAGCAUGUGACUCUUGAUCUUGGGGUUGUGAGUUUGAGCCCCACGUUGGGCA